rnacentral:tRNA from 1 species
GGAAGGGUGGCCGAGUGGUUUAAGGCACCGGUCUUGAAAACCGGCGUGCCCGAAAGGGUACCGUGGGUUCGAAUCCCACCCCUUCCGCCA